rnacentral:rRNA from 1 species
AAUGGGGGCAACCCUGAUCCAGCCAUGCCGCGUGCGGGAAGAAGGCCUUCGGGUUGUAAACCGCUUUCGGCCGGAACGAAAUCGCCGGGGAGAACAUCUCCGGUGGAUGACGGUACCGGAAGAAGAAGCACCGGCUAACUACGUGCCAUCAGCCGCGGUAAUACGUAGGGUGCGAGCGUUAAUCGGAAUUACUGGGCGUAAAGCGUGCGCAGGUGGUUCGCUAAGACAGAUGUGAAAUCCCCGGGCUCAACCUGGGAACUGCGUUUGUGACUGGCGGGCUAGAGUGCGGAAGGGGGAGGUGGAAUUCCACGUGUAGCAGUGAAAUGCGUAGAGAUGUGGAGGAACACCGAUGGCGAAGGCAGCCUCCUGGUCUAGCACUGACGCUCAUGCACGAAAGCGUGGGUAGCAAA